AGAGUUUGAUCAUGGCUCAGGACGAACGCUGGCGGCGUGCUUAACACAUGCAAGUCGAACGGAAAGGCCCUGCUUUUGUGGGGUGCUCGAGUGGCGAACGGGUGAGUAACACGUGAGUAACCUGCCCUUGACUUUGGGAUAACUUCAGGAAACUGGGGCUAAUACCGGAUAGGAGCUCCUGCUGCAUGGUGGGGGUUGGAAAGUUUCGGCGGUUGGGGAUGGACUCGCGGCUUAUCAGCUUGUUGGUGGGGUAGUGGCUUACCAAGGCUUUGACGGGUAGCCGGCCUGAGAGGGUGACCGGCCACAUUGGGACUGAGAUACGGCCCAGACUCCUACGGGAGGCAGCAGUGGGGAAUAUUGCACAAUGGGCGGAAGCCUGAUGCAGCAACGCCGCGUGCGGGAUGACGGCCUUCGGGUUGUAAACCGCUUUCGCCUGUGACGAAGCGUGAGUGACGGUAAUGGGUAAAGAAGCACCGGCUAACUACGUGCCAGCAGCCGCGGUGAUACGUAGGGUGCGAGCGUUGUCCGGAUUUAUUGGGCGUAAAGGGCUCGUAGUGGUUGAUCGCGUCGGAAGUGUAAUCUUGGGGCUUAACCCUGAGCG
rnacentral:rRNA from 1 species